rnacentral:rRNA from 1 species
AGCAGCCGCGGUAAUUCCAGCUCCAAUAGCGUAUAUUAAAGUUGUUGCAGUUAAAAAGCUCGUAGUUGAAUUUCGGGGUCAGCAGGUUGGUCGUGCCAAUGGUAUGCACUGGCCUUGCUGAUUCCUCCCUCUUGAUGAGCCGUAAUGCCAUUAAUUUGGUGUUGCGGGGAAUCAGGACUGUUACUUUGAAAAAUUAGAGUGUUUAAAGCAGGCAAGCGCUUGAAUACAUUAGCAUGGAAUAAUGAAAUAGGACGUUUGAUCCUAUUUUGUUGGUUUCUAGGAUUGACGUAAUGAUUAAUAGGGAUAGUUGGGGGCAUUAGUAUUCAAUUGUCAGAGGUGAAAUUCUUGGAUUUAUUGAAGACUAACUACUGCGAAAGCAUUUGCCAAGGAUGUUUUCAUUAAUCAAGAACGAAAGUUAGGGGAUCGAAGACGAUCAGAUACCGUCGUAGUCUUAACCAUAAACUAUGCCGACUAGGGAUCGGAUGAUGUUAAUUUUUAAUGA